rnacentral:rRNA from 1 species
AUGCAAGUCGAACGAGAAAGUGGAGCAAUCCAUGAGUAAAGUGGCGACCGGGUGAGUAACACGUGACUAACCUACCCUCGAGUGGGGAAUAACCUCGGGAAACCGAGGCUAAUACCGCAUAACAUCGCAAGAUCAAAGCAGAAAUGCGCUUGAGGAGGGGGUCGCGGCUGAUUAGCUAGUUGGUAGGGUAAUGGCCUACCAAGGCUUAGAUCGGUAGCCGGCCUGAGAGGGCGCACGGCCACACUGGAACUGAAACACGGUCCAGACUCCUACGGGAGGCAGCAGUGGGGAAUUUUGCGCAAUGGGGGAAACCCUGACGCAGCAACGCCGCGUGGAGGAUGAAGUCCCUUGGGACGUAAACUCCUUUC